AUCUUUCUCCCAUGUAGAGCAUUGAACAGAAGGGUAUUUUCCACCUCCCUCUGUUUAUUACAGGAUUACAGAUUUGAUGGACCCUUGAUGUGAUAAGAACUUAAGAAUUGCCAUACUGGGUCAGACCAAAGAUCCAUCUAGCCCAGUAUCCUGUCUUCCAACAGUGGUCAAUGCCAGGUGCUUCAGAGGGAAUGAAUAGAACAGGUGCCAAUUUUGUGUAAAUAUCCUGAGUGUGCCAAAGGAGAGCAUAUUGCACGGAGGGGAAACCUGUCCACAAAUUCCUACAAACUGAAAGGUAAAUAGUUGGUUAUUCUUGAGAAUCAGAAGAGCAUAGCCUCUGUAUGGAUUUUGUUUCCAAAUAGAAAGUAGAUCAUUUGAAUAGGUCUGGUGUUCCUUGUGUUUGACCCUGUGCUGCGUAGUGAGAGGGGAAGCAUAUGACUUUUAAGGGCUUGUGCCCUUUCUUUGCUUCUCUGUUGAGUACUGAAGAACAAUUGAAAGGUGGUUUGGGGGGAGGGGGGGUUAAAAGGCAUUUUUCUGAUUUUUUUUCUUUGCCUACCUUGUGAGUUAUCACACAGCUCAUAGAAGAGAUGGGAGUGUUGGAAUCUUUUAAUGAAGAGAUCCUUUCUCCAAAGUGUUUGGCAGCCAUUGGACUUUCAAUAUAUUUGUUUUUAUUAACAUCUAUUUAACAUCAGAAUAAAAUCUCUCCUGCUCUCUUACUUGUUUAACAUCACAACAGACUGAAAGGUAUCAUUUUACUAGUUCUGCAGUCAUAGAGUCUGCCAAAGUAGUCAUGCCCUGAAUUUCUAAGAAUAAAAAAUGAAGAAAAUAUACAAACUUUUUUUCCUAUGGCGGAGGAAAAAACCUUGCAGGCCUUCCUUACCCAUCCUCAAAACCACACGAAAACGAUGCACAAGGGUAUUUUUUUUCUUUGCAGGUCAUCUUUAACUAUCUCUGGCAGAAAAAUUAGGGUGGCUGUUUAUUUAGCAGUGUUAGUGAUAGCACGAAAGGUAAUGGAGAGGUGCCAAACAAUUAAGAGUCCAUGCUUUGAGUUUACGGAGUAAAGGCACUAGUGGAUGCAAUCCAAUCCACUGCCCAGUGGGUGCGGUUCUUGAGUGUUCAAUGACAUGGGUAUUGUUUUAGCACUGGAGUCUGUUCUCAUUUUAAAACUUGGAGGAUGGUCCCACUUCCAGCACAGUUUCUAAAAAUGAGAUACACCAAACUUUACAUGUCAAUAGCUUUUUGUUUAAGGAAGUUUUUUAAAAUAAAGAGGAAUCAAAUUUUUAAAUGGUCAUUGGUUUGUGCCCAGUCCCUAAUAGGAGACCUCAGAAUAUUUAUGGGAGUGGAGGUGUCAGUGAGAAUUUUAUUGGUGCAGUAAUUAAGAGAUGGGUAAGGUACAAGUGAAGUAACAGCAUGGCCGUUUUAUCUCUGUAUUGAGUGCUGUUGUGAAGAAUUGUUUUACUGUUGAGCCUUAGGAAGCAUUAGAAAGGAACUGCCACUGUUUUUUCAGGGAAUCUUCCAGGAUCUCCAGUACCCUGCAUUUGCCAUUCCCACUCUAACAACACUUGUCUCAGUGACCCUCUGUCCAGCCAAGCGGUACUAAUUACAGUGCCCUCCAGAAACCAUCAGCACGGCUCCUUCAGCUCACCAGAGAGUGCAUUUGACAGCAAAGUGGUCAGAUAUUGUGACAAUAUGUGUGCUAUGAGAACCUAGAUAGAUAGUGAUACAAGGUGAGGGGACCAGGAAGCCCAUGGCACCUUUACUGCUUCAGUACCCCUUCCUGGGUCUUGCAGUCACUUGUUGUUUGGCCUUGUUAUACUACUUCACCAUUCUCUGUCUCAUUUUUCCCCAGUUAUAAAACUGAAAGAGUAAUACUUAGUCCCCAAGAGUGUUGCAGGGCUUAACUAGCUAAUGCUUCGACAGAGUUAUGGAAGUAUGGAAUGUUAUUUCUUGCAAUCAUAGUUGUGGUUGUAAUGUUUGAAUUUGGAUCUCAGCGCAAAUCAUCUUUUUUUCCCCUUCAGAAUGUAAAUGGGUUUUCAGUAACACAUAAUCCAUUUGUUAAGGACUCUGUUUUGAGGACAGCUAAAUCAAUUUUUUACUACCUAGAACCUGCUGUAACAAAUAUGCCUUUUUUUUAGGGUCUCUACUUUCCUGUUUAGGCUUCAGAAAACAUGGCCCAGAGUAAAUCCAAGUCAGCUUAUCUCUCAAAAGGACUCUUGUUAGUGCCAAAUGCUACAGUCUGCUUACACAGCGAUACUUCUACUAGGUUAUAUGGGGAUGGGAGCCAAUGAACAGGCACGGGUCAGCUGCACCAGUGACCCAUGCCUCAGACAAGUCCUCUGAGAUCCGUAGGUUGUGUGCCAAACCAGCUACUUCUUUCACAAUUGGAUGUGCAGACGCCACAUAUCCCCAGUUGAAAGAGCAAUGGCAAACUCUCCGACUUUCCAGUCGCCAGUGUUAAUUAUUCAUAGGUUGGGGACCAUGGGGUCCAAAGAGAAGCAGUAAACAUGGUCUAAAAUCCUGUAUCUCCAUUUCACACCCAAAUAAACCCUCCCCAAUUUAUAUUCAAAACACAGACGUAACAGCUAAAAUUGUUACAUUCUGUAUGUGACCACUGUGGGGAAAGAGGGUUAUGAAGCUGCAUUUCAGCUGACACCACAAACAAGAAUAAAAGCUCAAUCAGCUUUAGAUGCUUUCGGAAUGCUGAGAUUGAACCUUGAUGUCAGUAAUGAAUUGUUCCAGAAACGCACAGAGAAAAUUGUACACAUUGGAAACCAAUUUUCAUUUGUGCUGCGUACUUGCUGCUCCUUUUGAUGUCAGUUUGAAUAAUAUUUUGAAUAAUUAGCAGCUUUUACAAUCAGGCCUUUUGGGUUAAAUGUUCUGAGACUCUUUUGCAGUCCUGAAAUCCAUAUAUGCUGUGUUUACAUAACAGGUAAAUUGGAAGUUUGAUUAGGGGAAAACCUGGGCCCAUAAUGUAGGGCUGUUUCUUGGAAACAAGGUUUUGCUGGUUCCUAAACAUUUCUCAGACUCCUUAACUGAUAACUGUUUUGUAAAUUUACAGGCAGGACAUGAGAGGCAAGGAGAUUGUAUUAGUCGAGAAAUGUUUAACAUGGUUUAUCAUGACAGGUUUCAGAGUAGCAGCCGUGUUAGUCUGUAUCCGCAAAAAGAAAAGGAGUACUUGUGGCACCUUAGAGACUAACAGAUUUAUUUGAGCAUAAGCUUUUGUGAGCUACAGCUCACUUCAUCGGAUGAAUGCAGUGGAAAAAACAGUAGGGAGAUUUUAUAUACACAGAGAAUAUGAAACAAUGAGUGUUAGCAUACACACUGUAACGAGAGAGAUCAGGUAAGGUGAGUUAUUACCAGCAGGAGAGAAGAAAAAUCCUUUUUAUACUGAUAAUCAAGGUGGGCCCUUUCCAGCAGUUGACAAGAACGUGUGAGGAACGGUAGGGGGGGAAAUAAACAUGGGGAAAUAGUUUUACUUUGUGUAAUGACCCAUCCACUCCUGGUCCUUAUUCAAGCCUAAGUUAAUUGUAUCCAGUUUGCAAAUUAAUUCCAAUUCAGCAGUCUCUCCUUGGAGUCUGUUUUUGCAGUUUUUUUGUUGAAAAAUUGCAACUUUUAGGUCUGUAAUCGACCAGAGAGAUUGAAGUGUUCUCUGACUGGUUUUUGAAUGUUAUAAUUCUUGACGUCUGAUUUGUGUCCAUUUAUUCUUUUACAUAGAGACUGUCUGGUUUGGCCAAUGUACAUGGCAGAGGGGCAUUGCUGGCACAUGAUGACAUAUAUCACAUUGGUAGAUGUGCAGGUGAACGAGCCUCUGAUAGUGUGGCUGAUGUGAUGAGGUCCUAUGAUGGUGUCUCCUGAACAGAUAUGUGGACACAGUUGGCAACAGGCUUUGUUGCAAGGAUAGGUUCCUGGGUUAGUGAUUUUGUUGUGUGGUGUGUGGUUGCUGGUGAGUAUUUGCUUCAGGUUGGGGGGCUGUCUGUAAGCAAGGACAGGCCUGUCUCCCAAGAUCUGUGAGAGUGUCAUCCUUCAGGAUAGGUUGUAGAUCCUUGAUGAUGCAUUGGAGAGGUUUUAGUUGGGAGCUGAAGGUGAUGGCUAAUGGCAUUCUGUUAUUUUCUUUUUUGAGCCUGUCCUGUAGUAGGUACCUUCUGGGUACUCUUCUGGCUCUGUCAAUCUGUUUCUUCACUUCAGCAGGUGGGUAUUGUAGUUGUAAGAACUCUUAAUAGAGAUCUUGUAGGUGUUUGUCUCUGUCUGAGGGGUUGGAGCAAAUGCGGUUGUAUCAUAGAGCUUGGCUGUAGACAAUGGAUAGUGUGGUGUGGUCUGGAUGAAAGCUGGAGGCAUGUAGGUAAGUAUAGCAGUCAGUAGGUUUCCGGUAUAGGGUGGUGUUUAUGUGACCAUUACUUAUUAGCACUGUAGUGUUCAGGAAGUGGAUCUCUUGUGUGGACUGGUCCAGGCUGAGGUUGGUGGUGGGAUGGAAAUUGUUGAAAUCAUGGUGGAAUUCCUCAAGGGCUUCUUUUCCAUGGGUCCAGAUGAUGACGAUGUCAUCAAUGUAGCGCAAGUAGAGUAGGGGCAUUAGGGGACAAGAGCUGAGGAAGCGUUGUUCUAAGUCAGCCAUAAAAAUGUUGGCACACUGUGGGGCCACGCGGGUACCCAUAGCAGUGCCGCUGAUUUGAAGGUAUACAUUGUCCCCAAAUGUGAAAUAGUUAUGGGUGAGGACAAAGUCACAACGUUCAGCUACCAGGUUUGCCAUGACAUUAUUGGGGAUACUGUUCCUGACGGCUUGUAGUCCAUCUUUGUGUGGAAUGUUGGUGUAGAGGGCUUCUACAUCCAUAGUGGCCAGGAAGGUGUUUUCAGGAAGAUCACCGAUGGAUUGUAGUUUCCUCAGGAAGUCAGUGGUGUCUCGAAGGUAGCUGGGAGUGCUGGGAGUGUAGUGCCUGAGGAGGGAGUCUACAUAGCCAGACAAUCCUGCUGUCAGGGUGCCAAUGCCUGAGAUGAUGAUGGGGCGUCCAGGAUUUCCAGGUUUAUGGAUCUUGGGUAGCAGAUAGAAUACCCCUGCUCGGGGUUCCAGGGGUGUGUCUGUGCGGAUUUGUUCUUGUGCUUUUUCAGGGAGUUUCUUGAGCAGAUGGUGUUUGGUAACACCCAUUGUUUCAUGUUGUAUGUGUAUAUAAAAUCUCCCCACUGUAUUUUCCACUGCAUGCAUCCGAUGAAGUGAGCUGUAGCUCACGAACGCUUAUGCUCAAAUAAAUUUAUUCGUCUCUAAGGUGCCACAAGUCCUCCUGUUCUUUUUACGGUUUAUCAUGUCAUUCUAAUCCCAGAAAAUGACUUUCAGCUUUGUUACCAAAACACAUUUUUCUUUCUGACUAUUUAUAUACACCCAAACCCUGCUCUCCUGGUGCUAGCUGUGGAGGUCUUGAUUGCUUCUUGCUGUUUACCCUAAUUAACUUAUGUAACCACCUGUAAGAUAGUAGAAUUGUUCAGUAGUAAAUACAAAGGAAAGUCUUAGGACCCAAAUCUGGAAAAUUUGGCUUUAAGUAAGGACUAAGUAAUGCCUGAGUAGUGAAAGCCUGAUUUGGCCACUUGGCUUUCAUGGAAGUUGAAGAUGCUCAGUUCAUUGUGAAAUGAAACUCUCAUCCUUACUCUAGUUGCAUUCCCAGUGACUUGCCUGAGGAGUGGCUGUACGAUUUGGACCUGAGUGAAAUUGUUUCACCUGCCACUGUAAUUUGUAUUGCCAUGAUUUAUUUCUUUACUUAUUUUAAAGGGGGAAGACUAAGCUUUGUCUCAGUUUUCUCAGAAGUACCUCACCAGCAACAGAUACGUCAUCCUGGUGAGAGGUAAGGUGGCUGUGUGGGUGCCUCACCCCAUGAAUCAUAAAAGUCUUGCCCCCAUAUUAAGAACCGAAUGUUCCCCUGUAAAUGCUCACUUAGCCCAGCAAAUUAAAAAUACUGCGUCACACUUGUUUUCUGACUGGAGGAAAAAUAAUAACGGUUCGCACAGUUGGUGAGCUUCCUUAUUAAUCAGAGGGUAUUAAGCAAGUGGUGGUGAAAGUGAUGGCAAUGGAUGGCUCAGGGAACUGAUCAAGAGAUAUGUAACCUUUUUCCUCCAGUGGUUUGAAUCCAAACCAAAUACGAAGUUACUGAGAAUUGUUCGUGUCAGAAGGUUUUUGUGAAAUGACUCCAUGGUCUCAGUUUGUGUCAUAGUGGACAGAUCACCAUCACAGAACAAACACUCCAGUUAGCACUAAUUGGUAUUUCAGUGGAGGGCCAUGUUCACAAUGGCCCAGGAGACUGAUGGCUUGUCUACACUUACCGGGGGAUCGAUGAGCGGUUAUUUGAUGCAUUGGCAGUCGAUUCAGCAUGUCGAGUGAAGACCCGCUAAAUCGACUUCCGAUCGCUCUCCCGUCGACUCCUGUACUCCACCCGAUCGAGAAGAGUAGGGGGAGUCGACAGGAGAGCAUCUCUCAUUGACAUCGCGUAGUGUGGACCCCGCGGUAAGUAGAUCUAAGCUACAUUGAUUUGAGUUACAUUAUUCACGUAACUCAAAUUGCAUAGCUUAGAUCGAAUUUCCCCUGUAGUGUAGAUAAGGCCUAAGAGCAUAGGGGUUCUGUCUGCAGGUCAAGGAUGAGAUAUACUGGUGGGGCAUUGUGUGGAAAACUCACACUAUCACUUCCUAUGUUGUAUCUGUUCUGUGAAUAGAGGACUUCUCCAGGGUUGUCAAUCUGACAUCUUUCACCAGCUCCACUUUUCAAACAAAAUUGAAGUAAAAAAAAAAAAGUUAAAAUAAUUUGAACAAUUUGUCUGACAUAAAGUACUUACAGGCUAUUGUCUGAAAAUUAUAGGCUGACUUGUUCUUUCACAAUCUCAUGGGUGGAUCCACUAAAGCUGUCAUACGUAAAGCUCUAGCAAAGUACAUUUACACAUCUCCUAUUAGGGAAGUGUAUGAAAAGGAAGUAAUAAAACUAAUUUUUUAGGAAUUUCCAAUACGGAAAUGUUACUCCUUUUGGAAAAACUUUCCAAGUCACUACCAGUCAAAGUUCUCUAUGAUUAAUCUUGGAGUCACGUUUUAUAAUGCACACAAUUGUUGUUUGCAUUAGCAAAAAUAAACUGAUGGUUCACAUUUUAUUUUGAACUUUUUACCACAGGCAUUCUUUUACAAGGGGGAGAAGGAAUGCCUAACUAUAGAGACCUUGAAUGCUUCUAACUGGCUAUUCAGUUAUCUAAUCACAUGUAAAUUGGUGGAAUUUUUCAGCAACAAAAACACAGCAGUUUUAGGCCCUAAUCCUGGAUUGAGUUAAGCAUGUAUAUAAUUUUACUCAUGUGAGUAAUCCCACAAGACAAAUAAAGUUAUGUAUGUGCUGAUAUCUUUUAAGAACAGGGCCUACGUCAGCAAAUCUCCUUCUUCGCAUUUACUCUUGAAGAUUAAAGAAUAGUGUUUACACGAAGAAAAAGCAUAACCGGGAAGGCUCCCCAUCUUGAGGCUUUACCUAGUUCUGUGAAUCCUGGGUGUGAGCUCUCCCUCUUCUGACUCCCAAACAACUGCUUUUAAGUCCUUGCACUAAGCGUCCAUGUAAGCUGAGAGGAGCUAACCCCGAGUCUAUCAGGAAAUGACUUGCCUCCUUUCACAGCAUCAAAUCCAGGAAAACAGCAAGAGAAUAUUUGUCAGAGGUUAAAAAGACAUUUAAGGGCAUAUAGGAAACGAAAAGGUCUAGCUAUUAGAGCAUAUCAUGGGCCAGUAUCUCUUCUCUCUGAUUAUCUCAUGAUAAUUGUUCUGUACUUUUAUUACAUAUUUUAAUUUACAGCCUUUAUUUGAGAAUGUUUUUCAUUAUCAAUGCUCUGGAAAUAUUCAGAGUUACUAUUACAACACUUGAAAGAUUUUUUUUUUCUUCGAAUAACUAUGUUUGCCUGUGUAAAUUAACUUAACAGAAUAACACCCAAAUCCUGCUGUCUGAAUAACACUUUCUCUGUGGGUUACACUUACUGAUAAGCUCAACUAUAUGAAGUGAGCCUCCUCUUUUAAGCCCCAUCAACAUUUUACUGUGUAUGACACCAUAUUGACUUGGAUUUGCCUGCAUGGACAAGAUGGGACAGUGUCAUAAUCAUGUUACACUCCUGGCCUUUCCUUACAACACAGUGUGGUUCUGUUGACAUACGAUCUAAGCUCUUCUCCCAGGUCUUUCGGAAUUCCUCUUGAAUGGUGAGGUGGAUGGCAAGGUGUUCCAUCUUUAAGGAUUACCCCUCUUAGGAGCUUGUGCAAUUCUUCAACAAAAAAAACAAAAACAGACUCCAACAAGAGACUCUGAAUUGGAAUUAAUUUGCAAACUGGAUACAAUUAACUUAGGCUUGAAUAGAGACUGGGAGUGGAUGGGUCAUUACACAAAGUAAAACUAUUUCCCCAUGAAGAAAAGGAGGACUUGUGGCACCUUAGGGACUAACAUAUUUAUUUGAGGAUAAGCUUUCGUGAGCUACAGCUCACUUCAUCGGAUGCAUUGUUUAUUCUCCCUCUUCACCGCCCACUGUUCCUCAGACGUUCUUGUCAACUGCUGGAAAUGGCCCACCUUGAUUUUCACUACAAAAGGUCACGCCUUAAAUAGCUCACCUUAAAUGAUCACUCUCGUUACAGUGUGUAUGGUAACACCCAUUGUUUCAUGUUCUCUAUGUAUAUAAAUCUCCCCACUGUAUUUUCCAGUGAAUGCAUCCAAUGAAGUGAGCUGUAGCUCAUGAAAGCUUAUGCUCAAAUAAAUUUGUUAGUCUCUAAGGUGCCACAAGUCCUCCUUUUCUUUUUGCGAAUACAGACUAACACGGCUGCUAACUCUGAAAGCCCCUUAGGAGCUGUCCAUACUAGGUGCAGAAUCAUGCUAGUUACAGCACAUAUGUAACUAACUAGAUUUUUAGCAUGGUUUCCUGACCAGUGUGAAGAGAGACUUUUGUCUGAAGGCCUUGGAUUGUCUCUGUGUGGCCCUGGGUUGGUCCACUGUAGAUCCUGUCCAUACUUAUGUCCCUUCCACACUAUGAAAGUGCUGUGUUGUGAGACCUGGUUACAGCCCGGUACUGCCAGACGCAGUUAAAACUCAGUUCAGUGUUACAGCAUAGAAGGGACCAAAUGCUGUUUUAGCUCUUUUCAUGAAUCGUGCCAUAGCUUGGCAAAGCCCAAGGCUCUGUAACAUGCUUUGAGAACACCUGUCUACAGGGUAAAAUCACUGUAUUUAAACUGUGUUAACCGUUAGCAUUUUGUAUCCAGGCCCUGUACACACAGUAGGAGCAGAACCCUGGGAGCAAUCUGUAACCAUGUGUAAACGCAGUUGUUCCUCGCAAAGUUACGUUAUGGGUUCCCUGAUUUUUAUGAACAGGCACUUUUUUGUCUGCAAACCUUGUACUAAAAUUGUGCCUUUUCACCGGGUUGAUAACCAGGUAGUGGCAUGGUUUGCUCUAAACAUGGUGUGUGGCUGUGCGUAAGCUAGGGUUUAUCAUUCUUUUAGUACCCAGGGUGACAGACUAUGUUGCACACUUGCAAGAGGCCUAGACUGGUGCAUUGUUGUCUUGCUUGUUAACACCAGUUGUUUUGCUGUGCAGAUGGGACUCUUAACUGUGCCUGCCUGCAUAGCCUGUUUGGCCAGUCCUCCUUCCUCUGAACUACCUGUGCCUGGUCACAAACCAGCCAAACAUUGCCCCACAUGGUGCUGUUGUCACACUGUGUGCAUGUCCUCUGGGUAACUUAUUCCUUUGCUGACGCAUUAUGAAACAGCUGCCCAGCUGUUCCCAGAACGCAGCCGUACAAACAUAGGAAGCGUGGUCUGUGUGGAUACACAUAUGUGAUCAGUGCAUGGUUGUGUUGUGCAUAAAGCUGCUAUAUGGACAUAAUUCAAACAAGUUUGUUCUAACUGGGUCAGAUGGACAAAAUUUGGAUCAACUCUACGGGAGUAAGUAAUCUGUAACACAGUUUGUCUAGCACUGUUCUAAGAAAAAACCCCUGCCCAUGCUUCUCAGGACCCCUGCUUGAGCCCAGCUGGCAAAAGCCGUGUUCUGAUGUCAGGCUUGUCCCUACACUUUUUUCCUUAAAAAUUCCUACCACUGCUAAGGCUGGUUCAGCUCUAGCAAUGGUGAGAGCACUAGUGUAAUCCUGUCUCUGGAUUCUGUCAUAUCACUCUGUUUAAAGCAAAUCUAGACAAUACAGUGAUUAAUAUGCUGCACUGAGUCCACACUAGUGCUCCCGCUGUUACUAUUGCCUGUGGAGCCCUUGGGAAUUGAGUGAACUCAGCCUCUGACAGGAGAUAUGCCACACCUUUAGGUUCACACGUUUGCCACCCCCAUGGUGAAGAUCUGCAGUAAUGCCAGUCUCAUUAACACAUUUAGUGAUAAUGAAGCUCCGGGCAAGUGGAUUGCAGAAAGAAUGAGGAGAAGAGGAAAAUAAUGGGGCGAGGCUAUAGAUCAGUCUUUCAGUAUUAAUCCAGCAAAUAAUGAAAUUCUGGUAGACAUUCACAGGUCUUGAGUAAUGGAAUCCUGCAGCAUGGUCAUUCAUUUUGCUAUCAGUGAUUCUUGUUUGCAUUGGUAACAGUAUAAAUGGGACAUAAAAAUUCUGCAUUGUAUGGCUCAAUCCAGAACGAGGAAGUAAUAUUAAAAAUCGCCAUUUCUUUAAUGUAAAGGAAAUAAAUGCAAAACAAAUUGUACGUGCCUGUUUUCUAGGUCAUAUCAAGUUCACUGUAGUAACAGGAAGUCUCAUCUAAGAUAGAAAACUCUCUGAAGCUCCCUCAGGAAG